CCAGGCACAGUGGCUCAUGCCUGUAAUCCCAACACUUUGGGAGGCAGAGGUGGAAGUAUCAUUUGAGCCCAGGAGUUUGAGGCUGCAGUGAGCUGUGAUCCCACCAUUGCACUCCAACCUGGGCAACAGAGCAAGACCCUAUUUAAAAAAAACACCAGUACCACAUGGGAGAAAACAUUAAUUCAGUUUUUAUAAUGAAAGUUUAACUCAGAGCUCAAGACAUUACUAAAAUUAAGAAAAGUUCUCCAGCCUGGCCAACAUGGUGAAACCCUGUCUCUACCAAAAAAUAAAAAAUAAUUAGCUGGGCAUGGUGGCAGGCGCCUGUAGUCCCAGCUAUUCGGGAGGCUGAGGCAUGAGAAUCACUUGAACCUGGGAGGUGGGGGUUGCAGUGAGCCAAGAUCUGCCACUGCAUUCCAGCCUGGGCAACAGAGUGAGACUCUGUCUCAAAAAAAAAAGAAGAAAAAAACUCUGAGGAAGAGUCCUGUGAGUUGUGGGAAAACCUUCAAUGUGAAAAACAUUUUUACUGAAUGUCAGUAUACCACAAUAGAAACAUUUCUAUCUUUUCUAUAAUGCUGGAAAAGCUCUAGUCUUAUUCAGACAUAACCUACAGGAAGAGAGUUGUAUUACUGUAAGAGAUCUAAUGCAGAACUUAUCGGAUAUUGUAAAAAUCAGUGUGGGAGAUAUUCAGUCAAAAGUCAGAAGGAAAUGUAUUAUUGUUAUAAUGUCAAACCUUUAGAGAGCCUAAAUUACCAAUUGCAUAUCAAAUUUUUUUCGAUAAUGUAAGGAAAACUUAAAUCCUCUCCAUAUCCUAAUUGGCAUUUAUAAUAAAAUGACACUUAACCUUGA